AGGGAGGGGGCGUGGCUCACCCUGACCCCUCCCCUUUAUAAUUUUUUGGGGAGGGGGCGUGGCUCACCCUGACCCCUCCCCUUUCCCCUCCCCCCCAGGUGAUUUCGGCCCCUCGGAGCCCCUCGGGCCCCCCCAAACUGGGGGCAUUGGGGGGGGGGCGGUCCCCAAUGGGCACCUGCCCGGAGCCGCCCCCCCCGGGGCCCCCCCCCAGCCCCGAGCAGAUUUUGGGGGCGCGUUUGAGGCUCCUGGGGGGACAAUUUCCAGCACAGCUACGAGAGACAGCGCCGCGGCCGGGGCCCGUUCUGGGCGCCGCUGCUCCGCUGGGUGGCGCCGUGGGUCGGGGCCGCGCCCGCAGCGCCCCUGGCGGCCAGAGGGGGGAACUGACCCCGGAAACGGCGGAGAACAGCGGGAAAACAGCUGGAAAACACCCGGAAAACAGCUGGAAAAUACCUGGAAAACACCUGGAAAUACCUGGAAAAUAUCUGGGAAUACCUGGAGAACACCUGGAGAAAGGCGCGGGACGCUCACAGGAGGGAAUCGCCCUCAGAGGGAGCACAAAGCACAAAACCCCCCCCGGAUCGGAGUUGGUAGCGCCCAACCCCCCUCGGGUUUUAUUUAUUUGGGGUAAUUUAUUCAUGGGGGAGGGGGGGGGUCCCCAAAAUUGGGCUGAGACCCCCAAAAAUGUGGCAGGAAGGGGGGACCCCCCCCAAAAACAAAGGGUUGUAAAUGGUGUAAAUUAGGGGGGUGUACAUUGAAAUUUUGGGGUGUAAAUUUAAAAUUUUUGGGUGUAAAUUUAAAUUUUUGGGUGUAAAUUUAAAUUUUUUGGGGUGUAAAUUUAAAAUUUUUGGGUGUAAAUUUAAAUUUUUGGGGUGUACAUUGAAAUUUUGGGUGUAAAUUUAAAUUUUGGGGUGUACAUUGAAAUUUUGGGUGUAAAUUUAAAUUUUUUUGGGGUGUAAAUUUGAAUUUUUUGGGGUGUAAAUUAAAUUUUUUGAGGUUUUUUUCAGGGGUGAAAUAAUGGGGGGACCCCCCCUCAAAAUGGUGCUGGGGGGGGUCAGGACCUCCCCCAAAUUAUUUUUUUUUAGGGGGGGGAGAACCCCAAAAAAACCCCAAAACUCCCCAAAAAAACCCCAAAAAAGGGCUGUAAAUGCUGUAUAUGGGCUGUAAAUGGGGCAAUUUUGGGGUUUUUUUGGGUUUUUUUUGGGGGGGAUUUUGGGGACCCCUUCCGGAUGGUGCUGAGGGGGUGAACCCCAAAAAAACCCCAAAAUCCCCCCAAAAAACCCCAAAACCGGGGCUGUACAUGCUGUAUAUGGGCUGUACAUUGUAUAUAGGAUUAUUGUACAUUUUUGGGGGUUUCUGUACAAUUUUUUGGGGGUUUCUGUACAAUUUUUUGGGGGUUUCUGUACAAUUUUUUGGGGUUUCUGUACAAUUUUUGGGGUUUCUGUACAUUUUUGGGUGGUUUGUACAUUUUGGGGGUUUCUGUACAUUUUGGGGGUUUCUGUACAUUUUUUUGGGGUCUGUACAGGAAUUUUUGGGGUGGGGGGGUUCCCAUUUUUUGUACUUUUGUUUGCAAUAAAUCGAUUUACCACAGAA